GUUCCUAUAUAGAGAUCUGGAUGAAUACGACUGGCUGGAUUUUCCAUUUCUUCUUUAGGUUGUAGCUAUGGGGACUGUCAUGAUGAUGACUUCUCACACUUCAUGUCUCCUCAGUACGCCUUGCAUGUUUCUGUGUGCAAAUGCUACUGGCAUAUCAUUUUGAGCUCAAGCAAAAUAGUUGGCAGUAUAUAUGAUAUGACAUCCUACUAAUUAGCAGAUCAAAAUUGCAGUAGCGAAAAAAAAAUCAGGAAAGGACUUAAAGGGUUGGUGGGACCAGGGAAGAAGGAAAGCGAAGGAGGCCAUUGCUUCUUUGACUGGGGCUUUUUCAAUAAUAUCAUAACAUUCUCCCUGAAUAUUUUACACAUCAAAGCAAGGAAUGGAAAUAGAUGGACAUGAAAAAGGGCAGCUGCUGCCAAGCUAAAUAAAAGCCUUUCAUUAGACAUGAAGGGCAAUAGGAGCUGCUGGAAAGUUGGAUGUGAGAGCCAACUCGGAGCGUGAGCUGAUCCUUUCUUGCCUUCUCUGUUCCCUGAGGGAAAAUACAGCUGCGAAAUUCACUUGAUCUUCAGGGAAUAGGGAAGAAAUGUGGCCACACACCAGCAAUGAAAAUCACAGUCAAGGGGCAAGGCAGGAUGUAGGGAAUAUAACCAGAUUAGAGGGAAAGUAAAGGGCAAGCAAACCAGGGAGCGGGAAGAAGCAGGGAAGGGGUUUUUGAGAAGAGUAAGUCUUCAUCAUUAUUAUUGGCCGGCAUUCAGUACUAAUGAUGGAUUCAUAACCUAGAGUUACAGAUCCUUAACAGCUCUGGAUUCAGCAAGACUUUGUUCUGUUACUGUAAAACCACCUGAAUGACGCCUUAGCCCACCUUAAGAACCAGCAGCUGGAUCAGGUGGAGGAAGUCCUUGCAGUUUCGUAUCAUGACUCAAGGAGGAUAAAGUUGUGGGAUUCCUCCACCUUUAACCUCAGCAAAUGUGAAGAUAAUGGAAGACCAACCAAGCCUAAUUUGGUCCUAUGACAACUUGGAGUGAAUGGGGACCUCUACAACUUGCCAUAAUUCUCAAGAAAGAUCUGUCCGUGGUCCUGAAGGUUUGUGCUAACCUGUCUGCUUAUUUUCCUAUUCAUCUCUUUAGCCAGGUCAGACAAUGCCUCUGAAACAGCUGCUUGCUGACGGUUCUUCUCAGACAUCCAGUCAGGUAGAGGGUUGACAGCUGUUCCUUUGAGAGAGAGUUGCUUCGGAUGGAUAGCUGCCUCCAGACGACUUGCCCUGGAAAGGCACACAAUCUAAAUAAGUCACAACACAAGGAAAAUGCAGUAGGAGUGGAGAAGGGGGAUGAAGUGCUGGCUCUUUUCUUCCUCUGAGGUCAAGACCAUGGCAGCUGGAAUAGAAGAAGGACCUUUCAACUGCUUCUUGGCCCUGGCAUGGGAGAACUGCACUGGUUUCUUCUUCUCUCCCUCCAACGCUGUGUAACUUGGAGAAAAGUGAGAGAUGACAUGAUAGUCCUCUUUAAAUAUUUGAAGGAAUGUCACAGGAUGGCAUAAAUACAGCAAAGGUACCUAAUCCCAUCUGAUCUUGGAAACUAAGCAAGUUCAGCUCUAGUUAUUGCUUAGAUGAGAGACUGCGAAUUGCUACCACUGCUCAUUGGAGGGAAGGAUAUUAGAGGCAAAGUUGAAGUAUUUUGGCCACAUCAUGAGAAGACAGGAAAGCUUGGAGAAGAUCAUGAUGCUGGGGAAAAUGGAAGGAAAAAGGAAGAGAGGCUGACCAAGGGCGAGAUGGAUGGACGGUAUCUUUGAAGUGACUGGCUUGACCUUGAAGGAACUGGGCACGGUGACGGCCGACAGGGAGCUCUGGUGUGGACUGGUCCAUGAGGCCACGAAGAGUCUAAAAUGACUGAACGACUGAACAAGCAAGUAUUAAGCUAUAUUUCAGAGGAAGGAACUGGCAAAAUCAUCUCUGAAUACUCCUUGCCUAAGAAAUUGAAGCAAACUUGUUUUGUGCAGCUAUACAGAGUAGGACACAAUGGGUUUAAGCUACAAGAAAAGACAUUCCAUGAAAAUAUUAGGAAAAAUUCUUGAUAAGAGCUGUAUGGCAGUAAUGUGAUUCUUCUUCUUCAGCUUAUUCACUUCUUGCUAAAUUGGCUUUACUGCUGCCUGAUCUUUGGGCAGCAUCUAAUAGAGAAUUAACCUCUCUGACCUCUGAAUCAAUAAUACUGCCCUUUGGUUAUUGGCAAGCUAGAAUGUGUCUAGAGGAGGAUGACUACAAUUGAGAAAAACUCUGUAAUCUAUGCCGAGUGAAGAACUGCUUAUGGAGCUGGGCAUAUUUAUCCUGGAGAAGAGAUAGUUAAGAGGGACAUGUUUAAAUACUUGAAAGGAUGUCACACUGAGGAAGGGGCAAGCUUGUUUUCUUCUGGUCCAGAUAUUAGGAUACAAAGCAAUGGAUUCAAAUUGUAGAAAAAAAGAUUCCACCUAAGCAUUAGGAAGAACUUCCUGGUGGUAAGAGUGGCACAACAUUGGAAUAUGUAGCCUUGAGUGUGGAGGAGUCUCCUUCUUUGGAAACCUUUACAUAGGCUGGAUGACCAUCUGUCAGGAGUGCUUUGAUUGUGUAUUCCUGCAUGGCAGGAGGUUGGAUUGGAUCACUCUUAUGCUCUCCUUCAACUGUGAUUGCCAGCAGAGUUUCCACAACAAUUUCUGUCUAAUGUUUCUACUUGGUACCGAAUUUUGCAAAGUUAUGCCACUGACUGUAUUGGUUAGGGUAUAUUAGCUGUGUCUCCCUCAUUAGUUCAUUGUAAUAAAGAGUGUGUGAUGAUUAAGAAGAGCUCAUGAAUAAAGGCACCUUAGUUGGUAUGGUCAUAUUGGCAUGGUAAGAUUGUAAUGCGGUCAUAUCGCGAGUCCCAUUUACUUUUGGCUAAGUUUAAUCACCACAAUUAAUUCAGAUUGGGGCAAUUACUCUUUGCUGAUCAAAGAACAGGAAUGAGCCAGGCUGCUGGAGUGGCAUCGUAAUGAGAUGUGUUGCUGAUAGGGCAGAACCGCGCAAUAAGCUUAGUUAGCUGCAAGAACUCUGAACGUGUCCCCUUAAGCUGCAAGCAAACAAUCCGCGAGACAGAUGUUUAAUACCAUCCGGCGAUAUCUCUAGAGCGCAGAUACGGUGGGAAUUGCUGGCCACAUAAGUAGCGAGAGUGACAGGUCUUACCUAGGCAGGUGUGGAGGGGAGGGGGGAUGCUUUACUAGAGGGGAAAGAAACCUUGUAUGGAUCAGCAUUUUGCUCCAGCCGGGGGGGAAUGACUUUGGAAAAGGAUGGGAAAGUAGCUACCCAUGAUUGAGUUUGUGAAUACAAACAUGUCUCAUUUACAAAGCCUCUAAUAAUGAAGUUUCUUUUUUGCAAAGUGUUUCUAAAGAUACCCAGUCAUUCUUUCUUCCCUGUAUUCUAUCAGGAUGGAGGGCUUUUUGUAAGGACAACAUUAGCCUUGGGAGGAGGACAGGAAAACAGACUUUUUAGUCUUUGGUAAACAAGAAACCCAGUGGCAAAGUGCGUUAAAGCGCUAAGCUGCUUAACUUGCAGACCGAAAGGUCCCAGGUUCAAAUCCCGGGAGCGGAGUGAGCACCUGCUAUUAGCUCCAGCUUCUGCUAACCUAGCAAUUCGGAAACAUGCCAAUGUGAGUAGAUCAAUAGGUACCGCUCCGGUGGGAAGGUAACAGCGCUCCAUGCAGUCAUGCCGGCCACAUUAUCUUGGAGGUGUCUACGGACAACGCCGGCUCUUCGGCUUAGAAAUGGAGAUGAGCACCAACCCCCAGAGUCAGACAUGACUGGACUUAACGUCAGGGGAAACCUUUACCUUUACUAAACAAGAAAUAAAGCUUGAGAUGAGAAAGGAGAGGGUCGUUUUGUAGGCAUGUAUUCUUGGCCUAAAAUAGGCAAGGUAAAUUGCUUUCAGACUUCCUCAAUGAACAUGCAUGAACAGCAAAACACAAAGAAAAGGGGACUCACUAGCAAAUCACAGCAUGUUAAAGAAGCAUGGAGCUGGAAGUUAGGUCACCAUAAAGUAAAUCAUAAAGAGAGGGAGUUGAAAGGAAAAAAACACAGCCUUGGGUGCAUUUCCAAUUCUACACUCCUGUUGGCUCUAAAUGCAGACUAUGUUUUUGUGUGUGUCAGGAUCGACUUGAGAAACUGCAAGUUACUUCUGGUGUGAGAGAAUUGGCUGUCUGCAAGGACAUUGCCCAGGGGAUGCCCAGAUGUUUUACCAUCCUCGUGCAAGGCUUCUCUCACGUCCCGGCAUGGAGCUGGAGCUCAUCCGUGCUUUCCCUGAGUUGGAUUCAAACCAGCAACCUUCAGGUCAGCAACCCAACCUUCAAGUCAUCAGUCCUGCCAGCACAAGGGUUUAACCAGUUGCGUCACUGGUCUGGUCAGGACUGAUACAAGAUUUCUCUAGCCUAAAAUGAUACAUUUUAAUAUAUUGGGUUUAUGGUUCCCGUCCCCUUGAUCAGGUCAUGUAAGUGUUAUUUAUUGCUAUAAUUGUAUUAUUUUACUUUGCUUAAUCAUGUGUUAUUAUGUUGCUAUGUAAUGUUUGUGUUGUUUUUAUGAUUGGAAACUGCCCUGAGUCCCAUCCGGGAGAUAGGGCGGUAUAUAAAUAAAGUUUUCUUCUUCUUCUU